rnacentral:rRNA from 1 species
GACGAACGCUGGCGGCGUGCUUAACACAUGCAAGUCGAACGGUGAAGCGCCUUCCUUUUUGGUGGGUGUGGAUGAGUGGCGAACGGGUGAGUAACACGUGAGUAACCUGCCCCCUUCUUCUGGAUAACCGCAUGAAAGUGUGGCUAAUACGGGAUAUUCUGGGUCUGUCGCAUGAUGGGUCUGGGAAAGAUAUUGUUUCGGUGGGGGAUGGGCUCGCGGCCUAUCAGCUUGUUGGUGGGGUGAUGGCCUACCAAGGCGGUGACGGGUAGCCGGCCUGAGAGGGUGGACGGUCCCACUGGGACUGAGCCACGGCCCAGACUCCUACGGGAGGCAGCAGUGGGGAAUAUUGCACAAUGGGCGCAAGCCUGAUGCAGCGACGCCGCGUGAGGGAUGGAGGCCUUCGGGUUGUGAACCUCUUUCGCCAGUGAAGCAGGCCUGCCUCGUUUGUGGGUGGGUUGACGGUAGCUGGAGAAGAAGCGCCGGCUAACUACGUG